UUAGGAAUCUUGGACAAUGGGCGCAAGCCUGAUCCAGCCAUGCCGCGUGAGUGAUGAAGGCCUUAGGGUUGUAAAGCUCUUUCAGCGGGGAAGAUAAUGACGGUACCCGCAGAAGAAGCCCCGGCUAACUUCGUGCC
rnacentral:rRNA from 1 species